CGUGGCGCAAUGGAUAGCGCAUUCGGUUCCGGUCCGAAAGGCUGAGGGUUCGAGUCCCUUCGGG
rnacentral:tRNA from 1 species